UGCAGUCGAACGGUAGCACAGAGAGCUUGCUCUCGGGUGACGAGUGGCGGACGGGUGAGUAAUGUCUGGGAAACUGCCUGAUGGAGGGGGAUAACUACUGGAAACGGUAGCUAAUACCGCAUAACGUCGCAAGACCAAAGAGGGGGACCUUCGGGCCUCUUGCCAUCAGAUGUGCCCAGAUGGGAUUAGCUAGUAGGUGGGGUAACGGCUCACCUAGGCGACGAUCCCUAGCUGGUCUGAGAGGAUGACCAGCCACACUGGAACUGAGACACGGUCCAGACUCCUACGGGAGGCAGCAGUGGGGAAUAUUGCACAAUGGGCGCAAGCCUGAUGCAGCCAUGCCGCGUGUAUGAAGAAGGCCUUCGGGUUGUAAAGUACUUUCAGCGGGGAGGAAGGUGUUGUGGUUAAUAACCGCAGCAAUUGACGUUACCCGCAGAAGAAGCACCGGCUAACUCCGUGCCAGCAGCCGCGGUAAUACGGAGGGUGCAAGCGUUAAUCGGAAUUACUGGGCGUAAAGCGCACGCAGGCGGUCUGUCAAGUCGGAUGUGAAAUCCCCGGGCUCAACCUGGGAACUGCAUUCGAAACUGGCAGGCUAGAGUCUUGUAGAGGGGGGUAGAAUUCCAGGUGUAGCGGUGAAAUGCGUAGAGAUCUGGAGGAAUACCGGUGGCGAAGGCGGCCCCCGGGACAAAGACGACGCCAGGGGCGAAAGCGGGGGGAGCA
rnacentral:rRNA from 1 species